CACCUAUAUGCGGAUUAGCAAGUAGAUUACAUAUGCACGAACCCUGGGAAGAGCUAGUAGCUGAGAAAUAACGAGGAGCAGAAAAGGAAAAGCCGCGAGCGAGAGCCUUAGCACAAGAGCUUGUGGGAUUGACAUUGUUUCCUGAAAGUCCGUUGAGAAUCUUAGGCUGGCACAAUGAAUCAACAGGACUGCCUAGACUAUGAGCGUAACGGGAGAUUGUGGGAGCACGAGAUAGCGGAGCAAAAUUUGGAGCUGCUUUGGAUGUUUUAAUGGCUGCCAAAGCGGACUUCGCUAACCUUCUUGAGGCCAUUGUCGGAAGGAAAUGGCAAUUUCUUGAGGGUUUUUUUUUUCUAAUCGCCUGUGCUUUGGCUUCACAGUUAAGGGAUGGAAAAAGGAAAUAGCGGGGGUCUUGGAAGCUUGGAGAAGAGGCAAAGGAAAACUGUAGAAGGUUUUGGAAGUCAAAGGAGGAUAAUUUUGGUUCGAAUUUGUAUUUGUAUGAAAUAGAAAUGGCAGUUAAAUCAAACAGCGGAAAUGUGAAAAUCUUCGAAGAAGAUGGUUAAUUUUUAAUUUUAAUU
rnacentral:lncRNA from 1 species